UGGGGAAUAUUGGACAAUGGGCGCAAGCCUGAUCCAGCAAUGCCGCGUGAGUGAUGAAGGCCUUAGGGUUGUAAAGCUCUUUCAGCGGGGACGAUGAUGACGGUACCCGCAGAAGAAGCCCCGGCUAACUUCGUGCCAGCAGCCGCGGUAAUACGAAGGGGGCUAGCGUUGUUCGGAAUUACUGGGCGUAAAGGGCGCGUAGGCGGCGCAUCAAGUCAGGCGUGAAAGCCCCGGGCUCAACCUGGGAAUUGCGCUUGAGACUGUUGUGCUUGAGUUCGGGAGAGGUGAGUGGAAUUCCCAGUGUAGAGGUGAAAUUCGUAGAUAUUGGGAAGAACACCGGUGGCGAAGGCGGCUCACUGGACCGAUACUGACGCUGAGGCGCGAAAGCGUGGGGAGCAAACAGGAUUAGAUACCCCCGUAGUCC
rnacentral:rRNA from 1 species